rnacentral:tRNA from 1 species
GCCCCCGUAGCUCAGUGGAUAGAGCAACGGUUUCCUAAACCGCAGGUCGCAGGUUCGAGUCCUGCCGGGGGUG